UGGGGAAUUUUGCACAAUGGGGGAAACCCUGAUGCAGCGACGCCGCGUGAUUUAGAAGGCCUUCGGGUUGUAAAAAUCUUUUCUAUGGGAAGAAAAUGACAGUACCAUAGGAAUAAGGACCGGCUAAUCACGUGCCAGCAGCCGCGGUAAUACGUAAGGUCCGAGCGUUGUCCGGAAUCAUUGGGCGUAAAGGGUACGUAGGCGGGUAAGCAAGUUAGAAGUGAAAUCCUAUAGCUCAACUAUAGUAAGCUUUUAAAACUGCUCAUCUUGAGGUAUGGAAGGGAAAGUGGAAUUCCUAGUGUAGCGGUGAAAUGCGCAGAUAUUAGGAGGAAUACCGGUGGCGAAGGCGACUUUCUGGCCAUAACCUGACGCUGAGGUACGAAAGCGUGGGUAGCAAACAGG
rnacentral:rRNA from 1 species